rnacentral:rRNA from 1 species
UACGUAGGGCGCAAGCGUUUGUCCGGAAUUAUUGGGCGUAAAGAGCUCGUAGGCGGCUUGUCGCGUCGUCCGUGAAAACCUGCGGCUCAACUGCAGGCUGGCGGUCGAUACGGGCAGGCUGGAGUUCGGUAGGGGAGACUGGAAUUCCUGGUGUAGCGGUGAAAUGCGCAGAUAUCAGGAGGAACACCGAUGGCGAAGGCAGCUCGCUAGGCCGAUACUGACGCUGGAGGCGCGAAAGCCAGGGGAGCGAACGGG